AAUAUGAAUUUCCCGUAGGACGGGAAGGUGUCAACGUUUUGCAUUUCGAAUAAACAUUGCACUUGUCCCGGCCUAUGGGCGGUUUGUAAUAAACA
ensembl:ncRNA mir-92a mir-92a stem loop